rnacentral:rRNA from 1 species
GAUGAACGCUGGCGGCGUGCCUAAUACAUGCAAGUCGAGCGAAGCGGGGACGGGUGAGUAACACGUGGAUAACCUCCUAUAAGACUGGGAUAACAUCGGGAAACCGGAGCUAAACCGGUUACUUAUAGGUGGAUCCCAGCUGCAUUAGCUAGUUGGUAAGGUAACGGCUUACCAAGGCAACGAUGCAUAGCCGACCUGAGAGGAGGAUCUGCCAAACUGGAACUGAGACACGGUCCAGACUCCUACGGGAGGCAGCAGUAGGGAAUUUUCCGCAAUGGGCGAGAGCCUGGCGGAGCAACGCCGCGGGAGUGAAGAAGUUCUUCGGGUCGUAAAGCUCUGUUAGUAGGUAAGCGGUGCCUAAGCAGAAAGCCACGGCUGACUACGUGCCAGCAGCCGCGGUAAUAC